rnacentral:rRNA from 1 species
AAAAGCUCGUAGUUGGAUCUCAGAUCCGGCCGGACGGUCCGCCUACCGGUGGUUACUGUUCGUUGCCGAUCGUUCAGGCGGUUAUUCUUGAUGAUCUUCACCGGUUGUCUCGGGUGACCGCCAAGUUUACUUUGAAAAAAUUAGAGUGCUCAAAGCAGGCGUGACGCCUGAAUAAUUGUGCAUGGAAUAAUGGAAUAGGACCUCGGUUCUAUUUUGUUGGUUUUCGGAACACGAGGUAAUGAUUAAGAGGGACAGACGGGGGCAUUCGUAUUGCGACGCUAGAGGUGAAAUUCUUGGACCGUCGCAAGACGAACUACUGCGAAAGCAUUUGCCAAGAAUGUUUCCAUUAAUCAAGAACGAAAGUUAGAGGUUCGAAGGCGAUCAGAUACCGCCCUAGUUCUAACCAUAAACGAUGCCAGCCAGCGAUCCGGCUGUGUUCCUCAAAUGACACGCCGGGCAGCUUCCGGGAAACCAAAGCUUUUGGGUUCCGGGGGAAGUAUGGUUGCAAAGCUGAAACUUAAAGGAAUUGACGGAAGGGCACCACCAGAAAUGGAGCCUGCGGCUUAAUUUGACUCAACACGGGAAAACUUACCCGGCCCGGACACAGGAAGGAUUGACAGAUUAAGAGCUCUUUCUUGAUUCUGUGGGUGGUGGUGCAUGGCCGUUCUUAGUUGGUGGGGCGACUUGUCUGGUUAAUUCCGAUAACGAACGAGACUCUAGCCUACUAAAUAGACGUUCCCUUCAACUUCGAGGGACGUUCUUCUUAGAGGGACAAGCGGCGUUUAGCCGCACGAGACAGAGCAAUAACAGGUCUGGGAUGCCCUUAGAUGUCCGGGGCCGCACGCGCGCUACAUUGAAGGAAUCAGCGUGUGCUUUCCCUGUCCGAAAGGACUGGGUAACCCGUUGAACCUCCUUCGUGCUGGGGAUUGGCGAGUGUAAUUGACGCCAUGAACGAGGAAUUCCCAGUAAGCGCGAGUCAUCAGCUCGCGUUGAUUACGUCCCUGCCCUUUGUCCACACCGCCCGUCGCUACUACCGAUUGAAUGAUUUAGUGAGGUCUUCGGACUGGCGCUCGGAUUGGCCUUCGUGGUCGAGGCGAUUGUGCCGGAAAGAUGACCAAACUUGAUCAUUUAGAGGAAGUAAAAGUCGUAACAAGGUUUU